CUUAACACCCUCUCCAUACUUCAAUUCUUCAUUCUACCGACUUUUGUUGUCCCAGCAGUUCCAAUUGGGAGAGGGGGAGGAACAACCCGCCCUGUGUUUACAACAAACUCGUUUCAGUUACUCAGUUACUCAGGUGCAGAAUGAAGAUAUUUGAGUGGGUACACCGAAAGUUUCGUAAUGGGCAGGGCGUGAAGGACUCCUGCGAGGGGCGUGGAGCGUCGGAAGAAGAUUUGAAAGGGCAUAGGAGGGAUGAAAGAGGGUAUGCAGAGGAAGAGGAGGAGGUGAAAAGUGACCUGACGGGGCUGUUGGCUAUCGGUACCCUUGGCAUACAACCUCUUCCUCACCCUCAGCCGCCGGUGGAGGAAGGGGAAGAGAAUGAAGAGGAAGAUGAAGAAGCAAGAGUACAACUGUUGUACAAGCAGCUGGAAGAGGCAUUUGGGCUCCCAAGCAGCGACUGCUCAAGCCCCAUGCAAGAGAAACACAGCGUGUAUCCAUUGCAUGAGUUCUUACACUCACCACUGGCGGAUCAUAACAACAAGGCAUCAUUCCCCACCACCACCAAAAAUGUGAAGGAAUCCAGGACUUCCUUGGGAGAUCUCUUUUCUAAAUCCACGCAGAAAUCAAGCCCCCCACCAGCAAAUGUUUCUUCUCAAUGCGUACAAAACCUCCCCCUCCAAAUCCCAAAUACUUCUGCCAAACCAGGUGGCCUGGCCUUUGUGAAAAAGCUCCUUAAGCGAAAGACUGGUAAAAACUCAGGUCAAGGUGUCGACCCCGGCCACAAACUAGUUAAAGUAAUUGGGCAGUUUCGGAGAAAGAUUCACCCUGAGGAGAUGGCUGCCUCAUGCGUGAAUGCGGCAAGGUCAAGGAUUAGCAGCUCUAAAGACAACAAAAGCUUUUUCCGCCUUGCCAACUGCAUCCUUCCGUGCCAGCGGGAUGAUCACUGUGGUGACAUGGAGGCCGUAGAUUCUACAGAAUGUCAUCAUCCUGACCUUGUCAGAUCUAAGCAACCGUGCACCAAGGAACACUGGAUAAAGACAGAUGCUGAAUAUUAUCACAAUGAGUUAUAGUCCCAGAAAAGAGUGGAAGACUGGAUGAGUUAUGACUAUUUAGCUAUCUUGAUGUGGUGCUGGAAUUGUAAGAACAAUCCACUGAAAGAAAUAUUGAAGUAAAAUGAGAUAGAGAUCAGAAGAAGAGGCAUAAGAAUGAAACUCCAGGUCAUACGGUAAUCUAUUACCAUCUGAAUUACAAUAACGAGUAGGUUGUAAUAUGCUUUAUCAAGACUGAUACGUAGUUACAUCAUAAUCUGUCCAUCGCAUUUGAAACGAUGUUUGUGUAUUUAUUAUAUGUCAUACACCUUUACAAACAGUUGAGAACAGUUAUCUAGUCAUACUUAUAUUCCAACAUUACUAUAUACUCGAUUUUAUAAAACUCCACAUAUUUGCAAUAUGCUA